UAAGGUGUGAAAACGAGAUAUCAAAGGGAUGGGAAAAUGUAGAAUAGAUCAUUGUUAGCUCGGGGAAGGUGACAACGAAGUAUAAAAAGAUAACAUUUAACCA